AGAGAGCAAGCAAGGCUGCCCUACCCUCGGAUCCCUGCCACCUGCCUGGCUGCACUUUCUUAUUUACAUAGGUCAAGACGCCAUGAAGGAGGCCAAGUCCUAGUACAGAGACAGGCGGAAGAUGGAAAAUCCUGAAGGCAAACAGACACAGGUUGGACUCUCUCUGCACACACAGGAGACUAACACGGCUACUUCUUUGAAAGCUCCAGAUUGCGGUUCUCCUUAUUACACAAACUCCUCUUCCUAAGAUCACACAGGAUGCUGCGGAAAGAUUUCCAGCGCUUCCAAGCCUCAAGUAUGUCUCGGGUUUGGAAUAAGGCACGCAAGAACAAGCCUG